GGCUUAACACAUGCAAGUCGAACGAUGAAGUCUAGCUUGCUAGACGGAUUAGUGGCGAACGGGUGAGUAAUGCUUAGGAAUCUGCCUAUUAGUGGGGGAUAACGUAGGGAAACUUACGCUAAUACCGCAUACGACCUACGGGUGAAAGGGGGCUUUUAGCUCUCGCUAAUAGAUGAGCCUAAGUCGGAUUAGCUGGUUGGUGGGGUAAAGGCCUACCAAGGCGACGAUCUGUAGCUGGUCUGAGAGGAUGAUCAGCCACACUGGGACUGAGACACGGCCCAGACUCCUACGGGAGGCAGCAGUGGGGAAUAUUGGACAAUGGGCSAAAGCCUGAUCCAGCCAUGCCSCGUGUGUGAAGAAGGCCYUUUGGUUGUAAAGCACUUUAAGUGGGGAGGAAAAGCUUAUGGUUAAUACCCAUAAGCCCURACKUUACCCACA
rnacentral:rRNA from 1 species